rnacentral:lncRNA from 1 species
AAAUUCCUAAAAAAUUCCUAAUUAAUUCCAGAAAGUCUGAAAAAGUCUCAGUAGAAAUUAUUAAAAUUUCUAAAGGCUAGAAUUCUACAGUGAUUCCCAGAGGUUGGGAAGUCUAAAAACUCUGGAAAAUUCCUCAAAAUUCUUAAAUUUAUUAACUUUGGCCUUCCAAUAGAAUUCUCGAAUGGCUGAAACAAAAAUGAGUUGAGUUAUUUGGUUGUCCAAGGGUUUGGGGUUCAAAUUUGAUGGUAUUCUGAUCUUGAGUUGUGGUGCUGCAAUUGUGGAUGUUAUUUGGUUCAAAUGGUCUAUUUCCUUGAGUAUUUCUGGGUAAAUACGUUGCUCAAACAACUACUUCUGCUACUGCUCAAUCGCUGACUCCCUUUUCUUUUGUUGUUCUUCAAAUUCCAGGUAUUCAUCUAGCCUCAAAUGACUUAUGCAAUUUAAGCCCAAAAUAAGAUUGAACUGGAAGAAUGUACAAAAGUGCAGGCAACUUUUUAUGUUCAAUAUUUUACCUUAGCUAGACCAUUUCACCUUUGUAUUCAUUUAAACAUCAUAUUAUGUAUAAUAAUAGGACUGUAUUGGACUGUUGAACUGUGGAUUUGUGUCGAUUCAUCUAAAGACAGUAUCCUUAGUGUAGUAUUUUUUUUUUGGCAAUCCACUAGGCAAAGCCUAGGGUUAGAAUUUUAAUAAUAACAUAAAAUUUAAAAUUACAACAUAAUAACUUAAAUGAAUGAGAUAAGCCAUAAUCAUCACAGAGUUCAUAACAUACUCUAUGGUAAUAUUACAAGAUGAGGAUAUUAAGUAAGUAAAAUAAAUUAUGAGGGAGCGAUUAAAGUGUUGUCCUUUCCCCAACUUUGGGAUGUAUUUAAUAAGAUUCAUGUUUUGCUCUUUGUUUUACUGGACUUUGUGAAAGUAGAUUGGUUGACCUGUUUUAGUUUUGCAAUUCUCAAUGGGAGCUUUCUUUUGUUUGCGUCUUCAGCCAUUCUGCCGUCCCAGCUUCUCUCCCUUUGAUGAUUUUUUUUAUUUGUUUUACUGUGCUUUGGUGAUAAAUCCCCCAUUCUUGCAGCAUUUUUCCGGCAUUGCGUUAAGAUAUCCUCUUCCUCUCCUUCUUCAAGUAUGUGACAUCCUUCCAAAUCUUUCUGGACAUAACUUUGAACGGAGGAUAUUAUCAACGCUGACGAUGUUUGCUGGUGUUGUCCCGCUUGUGAAAUUGCAACUACUUUGUUAUCCGUAGCAAUGCAUUCCUUUGGUGGCUGACUAGAGGUACCUGCUAUUGUACACUUUUUUGGAAAGAAAACAGGAGCAUUAUGGUUCAACUUACUUGUUGUAGAUGAAAGUUUUACAUUCCCAUUCCUAUUUGCCGGUUUCUCUUGAACUGUUGGCUUGAUCAUAGCCUCACUGUCUUCUCCCGAGCUAUUGUAAUCAUCUAUCUGGCCUUCUUCAGCAGAUGACCAGCCCUCAGAAUCUUCGUCCCAACUCUCAUCGUCAUCAACAUGUCGUUGGUCCCAGAGUUUCGAUUUAAUAACCAUAUCUCUCAUGUUUGCUAGAACUAGUUGUUUGUUAUUUUCAUUGAGGCUUGAGAAUUCCCCACUAUCAUUGAUGCCUUGCUCGGCGUAUAUACUGGAUAUAGAGAUGGGAGUAUAGCUUUGAACCUUCCGUAUCACCCCUCCAGCCAUUUUUUCAUCAUCUUUAACGAUAUUUGCGAGCACGGCACAUGAAUUGGAGCUUGUUGUUAUUGCUUUACUCAUCUCUUCCUUCUGUUUAUUGUUAUUUUGGAGACUUUCAUUUCUGUUAGAUCUGGAUGAUUGAUUGUUCCUUGCAUUAUAUUGUCCAAUUUUCUUUAGCAGCUGCGAGUCAUCUAAAGGAUGUUGAUAUUGAACCAUUUCUGCCAUGUGAUUUAUGCCCUG